rnacentral:rRNA from 1 species
GAUGAACGCUGGCGGCGUGCCUAAUACAUGCAAGUCGAGCGAACAGAUGAGGAGCUUGCUCCUCUGACGUUAGCGGCGGACGGGUGAGUAACACGUGGAUAACCUACCUAUAAGACUGGGAUAACUUCGGGAAACCGGAGCUAAUACCGGAUAAUAUAUUGAACCGCAUGGUUCAAUAGUGAAAGACGGUUUUGCUGUCACUUAUAGAUGGAUCCGCGCCGCAUUAGCUAGUUGGUAAGGUAACGGCUUACCAAGGCAACGAUGCGUAGCCGACCUGAGAGGGUGAUCGGCCACACUGGAACUGAGACACGGUCCAGACUCCUACGGGAGGCAGCAGUAGGGAAUCUUCCGCAAUGGGCGAAAGCUUGACGGAGCAACGCCGCGUGAGUGAUGAAGGUCUUCGGAUCGUAAAACUCUGUUAUUAAGGAAGAACAAAUGUGUAAGUAACUAUGCACGUCUUGACGGUACCGAAUCAGAAAGCCACGGCUAACUACGUG